GUGCAUGUCCGCGUGUUGCUCUGUGUGUGUGCAUGUCCGCGUGUUGCUUGUUUGUGUGUGCGUGUCCGCGUGUCGCUUGUCUGUGUGUGAACAUCUGUGCUUGUCCUGUAUCUGUGUUUAUCUGUAUACUUCCAUGUCUGUGUGACAGAGUCCUUGUGUCUGUGUGUCUACAUGUCUGCGCGUGUCCCUGUGUCUUUGUGUAUAUAUAUCCAUGCCUGUGUGCCUGUGUUCCUGCGUGUGCUUGUGUGUGCACGUGUGCAUCUGUGUGUUUGUCAGAGUAUGUGUGCAUGUGUGUGUCUGUCAUCGUAUCCAUGUGUGCAUGUGUGUGUCUGUCAGCGUAUCCGUGUGUGCAUGUGUGUGUCUGUCAGCUUAACCAUGUGUGCAUGUGUUUGUCAGUGUAUCCGUGUGUGCAUCUGUGUAUCUGUCCGUGUAUCCGCGUGUGCCUGUGUGUACCUUUGUGUGAGCAUCAAGGGACCUCCCAGGCCUGGUGCUCACCGUCCGCCCCAACGCAUCCUGCAUUGCAGCGACUCCAGCUCGGACACAGACAGCUUCUACGGCGCAGUUGAGCGGCCUGUGGAUAUCAGCCUUUCCCCGUACCCCACGGACAAUGAAGACUAUGAGCACGACGAUGAGGAUGACUCCUACCUGGAGCCCGACUCCCCGGAGCCCGGAAGGCUUGAGGAUGCCCUGAUGCACCCACCGGCUUACCCACCACCCCCAGUGCCCACGCCCAGGAAGCCAGCCUUCUCUGACAUGCCCCGGGCCCACUCCUUUACCUCCAAGGGCCCCGGUCCCCUACUGCCACCCCCGCCCCCUAAGCACGGCCUCCCAGAUGUUGGCCUGGCUGCUGAGGACUCCAAGAGGGACACACUGUGCCCGAGGCGGGCUGAGCCUUGCCCCAGGGUACCUGCUACCCCCCGAAGGAUGAGCGAUCCCCCUCUGAGCACCAUGCCCACCGCACCCGGCCUCCGGAAACCCCCUUGCUUCCGGGAGAGUGCCAGCCCCAGCCCGGAGCCCUGGACCCCUGGCCACGGGGCCUGCUCCACUUCCAGUGCUGCCAUCAUGGCCACUGCCACCUCCAGAAACUGUGACAAACUCAAGUCCUUCCACCUGUCCCCCCGAGGACCACCCACAUCUGAGCCCCCACCUGUGCCAGCCAACAAGCCCAAGUUCCUGAAGACAGCUGAAGAGGACCCCCCAAGGGAGGCAGCCAUGCCUGGACUCUUUGUGCCCCCCGUGGCUCCCCGGCCUCCUGUGCUGAAGCUGCCCGUGCCUGAGGCCAUGGCGCGGCCCGCAGUCCUGCCCAGGCCAGAGAAGCUGCAGCUCCCGCACCUCCAGCGAUCACCCCCCGAUGGGCAGAGUUUCAGGAGCUUCUCCUUUGAAAAGCCCCGGCAACCCUCGCAGGCUGACGCUGGCGGGGACGACUCAGACGAGGACUAUGAGAAGGUGCCACUGCCCAACUCGGUCUUCGUCAACACCACGGAGUCCUGCGAAGUGGAAAGGUUGUUCAAGGCCACAAGCCCCCGGGGAGAGCCCCAGGAUGGACUCUACUGCAUUCGGAACUCCUCUACCAAGUCGGGGAAGGUCCUGGUUGUGUGGGACGAAACCUCUAACAAAGUGAGGAACUAUCGCAUUUUUGAGAAGGACUCUAAGUUCUACCUGGAGGGCGAGGUCCUGUUUGUGAGUGUGGGCAGCAUGGUGGAGCACUACCACACCCACGUGCUGCCCAGCCACCAGAGCCUGCUGCUGCGGCACCCCUACGGCUACACUGGGCCUAGGUGAUGCCAGUCCAUGUGGCUGCCAGGCCAAGGCAGUCACAGGGGCCCUGACCCCAGGCCACACAGACGGACACGGGCCCACAUGGGAGGGUGAGCAGGAGCAAGGCCGUGCUUGCCUAGGGCCUCUGUGAUGGACAUCUCGUAGGACCCAGCCAGUCUCAUCCAGCAGGCUGGGUUCUAGGGCUGAACCAGGCGCCAGGCUCCAGAGGACGAAGGGACUCUGUUGCCCCACACUAACUUGCCCUGUCCCAAUCCCAGAAACCCAGGACCAAGCUGUGCCUGGGCUCCAAGGACAGGAACACUGGUCCCCCCAUCACACUCACCCCUAAGUGGGCUGGGAGCCAGGCAGGGCCAGGGCAGCUGGGUGGGGGCCGGGGCUGGCCCUGGGACCCCCAGGAACGCUAAGACACAGGUUCCAGUAGGGGCUGUUGCCUCCAAUAAAGCAGCAGUGAGCUUUGC
rnacentral:sRNA from 1 species